CUUCAUAUAUCAAUUAUCACGGUACUCAAGUACAUCCACAUUGGUAUUUCAUUUUCUUUUGGUCUCUGACUUUACCUUUUUCAUCAUUCAAUCUCUUUAUGUGUAUAUAAUAUAUGUCUAGAGAUCACUGACUUCCACAGAUUAUAGCGUAUGGCAGAUUGUCUUUUAAACCUUAACUUUUACUCAGCUACUUAGCCCACUGAUGUAGUAUAUUGGCUUCUUGCCGUUUCCUAAUAUCUCACUUAGUUUUGACCUUUUGAAUUUUAGUCCCAUCGAGAUUUCUAGAGAUUUUAGUCUGUUUAAUAAUUUAUGUACCUCAGUUGUUGCACUUGCAGCUAAUGUCUAUCACAGAGAUCUGAAGCCAAAGAACAAACUGGCAAAUGAAAACUGUAAAAUCAAGAUUUGUGAUUUUGGAUUAGGAAGGGGUUUCAUUAGUGAUAGCCCCACAUAAAUCUUUUGAACGGUAUGGUGAACAAGAUGUCUCUCUAAGAGUCUUUCUCUUCUCCUCAAGUAAGUUUGUAUAUUCUCAAACCUUAUUCUCUAUUAAAUUUACUGAACUAUGUUGCUAUUAGAUAGUAUACAGCUCCACUACUUUGUGGAUGUUUCCGUUCCAAGUUGCUUCUCUAUAAAGCCUUUCUUUCAAUUUUUGUAUUACUGCCAACUAAUUUUGGUGGAUUUGGAUUUGUAGUAUACACCCGCCAUUGAUAUAUGGAGUAUAGGCUGCAUCUUUUCCGGAGUAUUAGUGAGAAAUCCACUUUCCCUGGAAAGAAUGUGGUUCACCAGAUGGAUCUUAUGACUGAUCUGCUGGGGAAACCUUCCAUGGACACCAUCGCCCGGGUACUGAUCUUCUUAGACAUAAGGUUUUGAGGUUCUGCAAAAUCGUAAAAGCAUGGACCAAUGACGAGUACCCUGAUUUUACAAUAUUAUACAUGUAAGGAAUGAGAAGGCAAGGUGGUACUUAACAAGCGUAGACAUCUCAAGCGCAGAGUAGACCUCUCAUGAAACAGAGUCUCUCAAAGGAAGGAAACAUGAGGAGAUCAAAUUAGGAUUAGACCUCUCUUCUUUCAUAGUGCAGGCAUAUCAAGCGCAAUUCUUCAUAGUUCAUACUAAAGACAAAAUAUUUGCAGAGAUUUCUGAAUCGUUGGACGUGAACUGUCGUAUUACAUAUAAGGAUCAAGAGGCAUGGCGGAAACGUCCGCUUUCUCUGGUUAAGAUUAAGACAACAUGGGAUAUACUUGGCGCGAAGCUUACAUGGAGAGAAUCGAAACGGACGGUGGUUAUUCGUUCUUAUUCUUGGAUCUCUAAAGAAAGAAGAAACAUCCUUUUUUUAUUUAAUCCCAAGUUCACAACUUCUUAUCAGAUCUGUGAAAGCGGUGGGAAAGUGGGUUUGGUGGUUAAGGGCAAGAGAGUCUGUUUUGGUACUAUCUUCAGUUCGUUCCUCUGUUCGAGGUUUACACUCUUGCAGGAAUGGUGUUCUCGCCAAACUCGAGAGGUAUCACGAUUUGGGACCUUGGUUCUAUCGUGGUAUUAAUAAUUCCGGGCUUGGUGGUUCUUCCAUGAUGUUGUCCUCGGUCUGUGUCAGGCCAAACUGGUUCCGUCAUCACUGUCUUUUUGAAUCACAAGGCAACUUUCUACUUGAACUCUUUAAGAUGUCAUGGAGUUUAUUAAAGUAAGCUGAGGCUGCUUCAACACAAAAUGGAGAACUUUAACAAGACACAUAUUACGAUUGUAGCAUAGAGGGAAACACAUCAACUUGGCAAUUGAGCAAUUUAAAGCACUGUAAGAAUGACAUGUUCCUACAUCUUAUAGUCAAUUUCAGUAUGUUUUUCAGUGUCCGGACUUAUAGUAUUAUAGGGAGUUUAGCUUGUGCUCACUUACAAAUGAAAAACAUACAUGUUUGGGUUGUUUUCUUCGGGUCUUAAUGAUGUCUCUCAUCACUGUUUUUGAUAUUAAGAUGAUCCUUUUUU